AGUUAUAAGAAGAGCGGUGAAGCGAUCGCAUCGGCUAGUCGCUAAAGAGUUUUGCCGCGGGUCAGCCACCAAGAGGAAACGCACCGAGUACUCGCGUAUCCGGACCACGGUAUACACAGAGGAAUAUAUCCGCGAGUUGAAGAGACCAAGACGAUUUGCUGAUGGCAAGCGAAGACGAAGGCAUGGCGAGGCAUGGCAAGAACUCCACUCCCAGAACUGCGCGGGUCGAGUCGAGCCAAAACCAAAAUACCACCGAUAUAGCUUUUCUGCGAUGGUCUUUGUGUGCGCGACCAACCAGCUCUUUCCUACGAACGUCCAACCGGCUUGCACCGGAGUGAACGACGACGAACUAACCUUACCGACAUACGCUAGAAGCUACCGUCUACGAAGAAGACGACGAACACGACCAUGAUGACGAAGAGGCUAAGGUGCGUUGGUGAGAAGAAAAAAAAAAAAGGAUGCAUUAACUGAUAUCGAACAGUAGGAUGAUUUGAUGUUAUUCGCAUGAGCUUCGAGCAACCGUCCACGAAGAAGAGAAAGACACUAAGAAAUUUUCCAUCCACCUUUGGAGAAGAUAAUUGUAGGGAUCGGUUGGACGAAGACAACGUGAAAAACGAGUCGUCCAGGAGGCGGCGUUUUCCUUCGCCUCUCUUCGUUUCUCAAGCUGGAAGCUUGAAACGCGAUACUCGGAGCUGAUUCUACUCGAAACGAAGCAGAAUGAAAACGACCUGGUGAAAAGAGAGGGAAAACGAGACGGUGGUGAAGGAAGAGGCUCGGGAAAAAGAGGAAAACAAGAAGAAGAAGGGAGGUUCAUGAGUUGAGUGAACGCACAUUCGAGCCACGUACUGUGGAAGAAGAAGAAGAAGAAGAAGAAGAAGAAUUAACUGAGGGAAAGAGAUAGAAGAAUCUCGUGGAACUACGUUUAUUUGAAACAUAGCUUCAAUUUGAUCGUCUUAACGAAAUUGUCAAGAACAAAAGAGUCCCCACCUUGUCCUUAAAUCCUUUCGAAUUCAAUUGCUCUGCCAUGUACAGUCUAUCUUACGUAACUGAACGAAUAUUUUGGGAGCUCCAUUGGGUAAAUUGUUCACGAUUCUACGGGUUCUAAGGAAAACAAUACCAAGCAGUGUCUAUAGAUGAAUAAACGGGUGGAAAGGAAAUUAUGAAAUAUGAUUUUGUGUGAACGAUUUGAAAGACGCUUAAAAAUCAUGGAAAUACUAUAAAAACUACAUUGCGAUUGCAUCUGAAGAUAAUUAAAAAGACCCUAUAGGGUUAAAUCAUC